UGGGAAUAUUGGACAAUGGGCGGAAGCCUGAUCCAGCAACGCCGCGUGAGGGAUGACGGCCUUCGGGUUGUAAACCUCUUUCAGCACAGACGAAGCGCAAGUGACGGUAUGUGCAGAAGAAGGACCGGCCGACUACGUGCCAGCAGCCGCGGUAAUACGUAGGGGUCCGAGCGUUUGUCCGGAAAUUUAUUGGGGCGUAAAAGGGCUCGUAGGCGGUUUGUCGCGUCGGGAGUGAAAACACCGGGCUUAACUCGGUGCUUGCUUUCGAUACGGGCAGACUAGAGGUAUUCAGGGGGUGAACGGAAUUCCUGGUGUAGCGGUGAAAUGCGCAGAUAUCAGGAGGAACACCGGUGGCGAAGGCGGUUCUCUGGGAAUAUCCUGACGCUGAGGGAGCGAAAAGUGUGGGGGAGCGAACAGGAUUAGAUACCCUGGUAGUCCACACCGUAAAACGUUGGGCGCUAGGUGUGGGGGUCCAUUCCACGGAUUCCGUGCCGCAGCUAACGCAUUAAGCGCCCCCGCCUGGGGG
rnacentral:rRNA from 1 species